rnacentral:rRNA from 1 species
CAGUCGCCACGGGAAUACGAAGGGGGCUAGCGUUGCUCGGAAUGACUGGGCGUAAAGGGCGCGUAGGCGGAUCACGCAGUCAGAUGUGAAAUUCCUGGGCUUAACCUGGGGGCUGCAUUUGAGACGCGUGGUCUAGAGUGUGAAAGAGGGUCGUGGAAUUCCCAGUGUAGAGGUGAAAUUCGUAGAUAUUGGGAAGAACACCGGUGGCGAAGGCGGCGACCUGGUUCAUGACUGACGCUGAGGCGCGAAAGCGUGGGGAGCAAACAGGAUUAGAUACCCGAGUAGUCCCUGUCUCUUAUAC